GGGGGGGGAUCGACCGGAUCGGCGUCCGGUGAAGGUAGCUGCUAGAGUAGAUUAGGUUCCUUCUAGUAGGCUAGGUUUUGCUGGUGGUUCUAGGCGCUGGGGGCUCUGUUCGUCGGCGGACGGAGACUACGACGAGCUUGGAUCCAUGGCAGCUUCUUUUGCUCCUGGCGGUCCCUGGUGAUCCUCCGGUGAAGAGCUUGCGGUCGUCUUUGGCCAUGGCCUUUGGUGGUGGCAGCGGCGUCGCCGAGGAUGGGGCCCUGCGUCCGGUACUGGGUUUAUGGUAUGAGGAGGUUGGAUCUGUGCGCCUUCUUCAGUGAUGGACGGAGACGGCGGAUUCAAGCAACGAGGAGCUCGGGAUGUUUUCCCGGCCGACGUGCCACAGAGAAAAAGCUCCUGUCUUCGAUGGGAUGCUCAUUCG